CCGAGUUUACAACUCCAAACCAUUGUGAAUCUUACCCUUCUGUUGCUUCGGCGGGACCGCCCCGGGCGCCAUCGCGUGCCCCGGAGACAGGCGCCCGCCGGGGGACCAUAACUCUUGUAUUGUCAGUGGCAUCUUCUGAGUGGAUUAAACAAAUAAUCA
rnacentral:misc_RNA from 1 species